GAUGAAGAACGUAGCAAAAUGCGAUACUUGGUGUGAAUUGCAGAAUCCCGUGAACCAUCGAGUUUUUGAACGCAAGUUGCGCCCGAAGCCUUUUGGCCGAGGGCACGUCUGCCUGGGCGUCACGCAUCGCGUCGCCCCCCACAAUUCUCCGUAAAGGGAACAUGUGUUUUGGGGGCGGAUAUUGGUCUCCCGUGCUCAUGGCGUGGUUGGCCGAAAUAGGAGUCCUUUCGAUGGACGCACGAACUAGUGGUGGUCGUAAAAACCCUCGUCUGUUGUUUCGUGCUGUUGCUCGCAAGGUAAACUCUUUAAAAACCCCAAUGUGUCGUCUCUUGACGACGCUUCGACCGCGACCCCAGGUCAGGCGGGACUACCCGCUGAGUUUAAGCAUAUCAAUAAGCGGAGGA
rnacentral:misc_RNA from 1 species